rnacentral:rRNA from 1 species
UGGCGGCAGCUUACACAUGCAAGUCGAGCGGUAGCACAGGGGGAGCUUGCUCCCCGGGUGACGAGCGGCGGACGGGUGAGUAAUGUCUGGGAAACUGCCUGAUGGAGGGGGAUAACUACUGGAAACGGUAGCUAAUACCGCAUAACGUCGCAAGACCAAAGAGGGGGACCUUCGGGCCUCUUGCCAUCAGAUGUGCCCAGAUGGGAUUAGCUAGUAGGUGGGGUAAUGGCUCACCUAGGCGACGAUCCCUAGCUGGUCUGAGAGGAUGACCAGCCACACUGGAACUGAGACACGGUCCAGACUCCUACGGGAGGCAGCAGUGGGGAAUAUUGCACAAUGGGCGCAAGCCUGAUGCAGCCAUGCCGCGUGUGUGAAGAAGGCCUUCGGGUUGUAAAGCACUUUCAGCGAGGAGGAAGGUGGUGAACUUAAUACGUUCAUCAAUUGACGUUACUCGCAGAAGAAGCACCGGCUAACUCCGUGCCAGCAGCCGCGGUAAUACGGAGGGUGCAAGCGUUAAUCGGAAUUACUGGGCGUAAAGCGCACGCAGGCGGUUUGUUAAGUCAGAUGUGAAAUCCCCGGGCUCAACCUGGGAACUGCAUUUGAAACUGGCAAGCUAGAGUCUCGUAGAGGGGGGUAGAAUUCCAGGUGUAUCGGUGAAAUGCGUAUAUAUCUGGAGGAAUACCGGUGGCGAAAGCGGGCCCCUGGACUAAGAUUGUUGCUCAUGUGCGUAAACGUGGG